AUGAGUGUCCCCCUCCUAUGCUGGGGAGUCUGGGGUCUCCUGCAGGCAGGUGUGGUGAAGGCUGGGGUCUCUCAAAACCCUAGAUUCCAGAUCCUGAUGAAAACACUGCGUUGGAACCUGAGUUGUGUCCAGGAUAUGAAACACGACUACAUGUACUGGUAUCGCCAGGACCCAGGAUUCAGGCUGAGGCUGAUCUAUUACUCCCUUGAUGUCAAUAAUACAGACAGAGGAGACAUCCACCAUGGGUACAUCGUCUCCAGACCAAGUACGGAGAACUUCCUGCUCACGCUGGAGUCUGCCACCCCCAACCAGACAUCUGUGUACUUCUGUGCCAGCAGUGAUGCACAGUGCUGCAGGCUCACCUCCUCUCUGCACAAGAAGGCAGAGGGGUCUGGACCCUGGGUCUCAGCAGAGCCCUUUGCAAACUUUUAG